GCUCGGAGGGGCACCUUGCCUGGCACGGGUUCCCAGGCGGCUUCUCUUCUCUUCUCUCCUCCCCGCCCCGCCCCGCCCCUCUCCUUCCUCACCCCGCCCUGACCUUAUUAUCCUCCCUCCUUGGGCUUCAAGAACGAAGCAGCCCGGCCAGGGAGGAAGAAGCAGCAUCGCAGGGGACCCCGGAGGCACCUGCGGGGAUGCAUUAGGCGCGCUUUCUCCAAGGGAGGCUUUAUUCCCCUGCUCUCUCCCCCGCUUUGGGUUGGCGCUAUAGGAAGAAAGAGAGAGGAGAAGGGAAAGCAGGCGGACAAGAGAGGGAAAAAGAUUGGGAGAGAAUCCGAAGGGACCCCCGGCCUCCCUCCCUCCUUUUGUUGAAUGAGAAGACCCGCGCCGGCCCGACAUGAGCAGCACCAGCACAGUUCCUUUUCAACAAAACCCAUACAACUCUGGAGGUCGUCCCACCAUAAUCCAGUGUUACCGCUGUGGAGAUACCUGCAAAGGGGAGGUGGUCCGUGUCCAGAGCAAUCACUUCCACAUUAGAUGCUUCACCUGCCAAGUGUGUGGCUGUGACUUAGCUCAGUCUGGCUUUUUCUUUAAAAAUGGGGAAUAUAUUUGUACCCAUGACUAUCAACAGCUCUAUGGCACCCGCUGUGACAGCUGCCAAGAUUUCAUCACUGGAGAGGUUAUCUCUGCCUUGGGCCGAACCUACCACCCCAAGUGUUUUGUGUGCAGUAUGUGCAGGAAGCCAUUCCCCAUUGGGGACAAAGUUACAUUCAGUGGGAAGGACUGUGUUUGCCAAACAUGCUCCCAUUCACUAAUCAGCAACAAACCCAUCAAGAUUCAUGGACCAAGCCAAUGUGCAGGUUGCAAGGAGGAGAUCAAGCAAGGACAAUCCCUCCUGGCUUUAGAGAAACAGUGGCAUGUCAGCUGCUUCAAGUGCCAAACCUGUGGAGUCGUCCUGACUGGAGAAUACAUUAGCAAGGAUGGCAUUCCAUACUGUGAGUCUGACUAUCAUGCCCAAUUUGGCAUUAAAUGUGAGACCUGCAACCGGUAUAUCAGCGGCCGGGUUCUGGAGGCAGGAGGGAAGCAUUAUCACCCCACUUGUGCCAGAUGUGUGCGUUGCCACCAGAUGUUCACGGAAGGAGAAGAGAUGUACCUCACAGGGUCAGAAGUGUGGCAUCCCAUAUGCAAACAAGCAGCAAGAGCAGAAAAAAAACUAAAGCACAGAAGAACGUCAGAAACUUCCAUAUCCCCGCCUGGCUCCAGCAUUGGCUCCCCCAACCGAGUCAUUUGUGCUAAAGUGGAUAAUCAGAUCCUUAAUUACAAAGACCUGGCUGCUCUUCCCAAGAUUAAAGCCAUCUACGAGGUGCAGCGUCCUGACCUCAUUUCCUAUGAGCCCUAUCACAGAUAUACGUCGGACGAGACAUUGGAGAGAUAUAGCUAUGGGGAGUCUCUGGGAACUUUGUCUCCAUAUUCUCAGGACAUUUAUGAAAGCAUGGACCUCCGGCAAAGGCGAGCUUCCAGCCCUGGCUACAUUGACUCCCCCACCUAUAGUCGUCAAGGCAUGUCCCCCACCAUCCCACGUUCUCCACAUCAUUAUUACCGCUCAGGGACAGAGAGUGGGCGCAGCUCCCCCUACUAUAGCCAGUUAGAUGUGAGGUCUUCUACUCCAACCUCAUACCAAGCUCCUAAGCAUUUCCACAUUCCAGCAGCUGCAGAGAGUAACAUCUACCGGAAACCUCCCAUCUAUAAAAGACACGAUACUCACUCUGCAGCUACGAAAAGCAAAACCAGUGAGGAUAUUGCCCAGACCUCCAAAUAUAGCCCAGCCUAUUCUCCAGAUCCAUAUUACCAUUCUGAGACUGAGUACUGGACUUUCCAAGGAUCACCAAAAGCACCACGAGUACGGAGAUUCUCAUCAGGAGGAGAAGAAGAUGGGUUUGAUCGAGGGAUGCAUAAAAUCCACACUGGGAUUGGCAGAUUGAUACUGAAGGAAGAAAUGAAGGCCCGAUCCAAUUCCUAUGCCGACCCAUGGACGCCACCCCGCAGUUCAGCUGGCAGUCGAGAAGCUCUGCAUACUGCUGGCUAUGAAAGCUCCUUAAAUGGUUCACCACGGACACAUUACCUGGCAGACAGUGAUCCCCUCAUUUCAAAAUCUGCCUCUCUUCCUGCUUACAGACGGAAUGGGCUGCACAGGCCUCCCAGCGCCGAGCUUUUCCACUAUGACAGCACAAAUGCUGUCAACUGGGGGAUGCGAGAAUACAAGGUAAUACUUUCCCAGGAAACUGUAGCAUUCUAAAGCUCUGGGUCCUUUCUCUCUGGAAAGUGAGAAGCUACUACCUAAGCUGUUCUGAAAUUCUGAAUACCAAUCCACAGAAGCCAUAUUGAACAUGUUGAAAAGAAAACAUCAUCCUCACCUCCAUGCUAGCUAUACUACUUUUGAGAGCUCCUAUUUGGAUAGAGGGUUUCUCGGUGGUCGUAUCCUCUUCCUCUACAUAUGUAUAUGUAUAUGUCUAAGUAUAAUCUGGAAGCAUGUAUGUUUAAAGAUACUAAAUUUCUGCAGCCAGAAUUUUCAUUCUAUGGGUUACAUAGUGUAAUUUGCCAUGUGAAAUUUGACACGUUGGGGAAAAUAAAUGGUUAUUUCAGGAAUGCAUUUGAGGAACUAAUGAAUAAAAGAAGACGAAGAAGAAAGAGGUGAAGGAGGGACAAAUAUGUCUUUUGCCACCUGCUGCUCCUAGCCUCAUAUUUUCUGGAAGCUACUCUACUCUGCUGGGAGUUCUCCCUCCUGCCAAAUAGAAAGAGAAAUCAUACUCUCCUGUUGGUGUGAAACAUUUGUCUCACCUAGAUUCUAAGGCCAGCAUUCUCUUGGUCUCUUUUAUCAAUUGCUAUUAGUCUGAGGUUCUUUCAGGCAAUUAUUGACCGAGAGAUUGCUAUAAUCACGAAACUGUUCUGAUUCCUGGUUAGAUAUUGCAGAAUGGCAGUCAGCAUCCAGAGGGCCAUGAAAGGACAGGAGGUGUCAGUUUCAUUCUGGGGUACUGGCAACUGCUUAGGAUGCUGACUUAACACCAACUCAAGAGCCUUUCUAUAUUCUAAUGUAGGGACAACACGGUGGGUUGGGAAAACCCUGGAGUAGCUGCCCAGUGGCAUAGCUGUUCUGCAUAGUUGAACAGUUGGGAUUCCCUCCUGCCUUGCUGCUAAGGGAGGGGGGGGGGAAGAAAAAAGCCCCCCUUCCCUUGGUGCACUAGCACUCUGGCUGACGAUAGCCAGAGAGCUAAAGAGCAAGAUAGGUUAGGUAUCGCAGCUGACAUGGAGUGUGUGUGUGUGGGGGGGGGGGGGGUGACAGGGAACUGCCAUUCCAUGUUCCUGGUCCAACCGAGCCUGUGAACAUGAGAUGACAGUCAAGACAGCUGUAGACAAUUCUGGGUCAAGAUUCAGGCUUUUCCUUAACUUUGCUUUACCCAGGACAAUAUCUCAUUAAGGCAACUUUGCCCCAGAUUAAGCUGUGUUAUCAGUUGGGAGCCACUCCCCCCCCCCCCCAAGCAACAAUAGAGUAAUAUAUAAUACUAAUAUUGUGCAAUGCUAAUUAUAUAAUAUAUUUAUAUACAUAUAAUAUUGAUAAUAAUAUUAUAAUGUAAUACAUAAAGGUAAAGGUUUCCCCUGACAUUAAGUCUAGUCGUGUCCGACUCUGGUGGUUGAUGCUCAUCUCCAUUUCUAAGCCGAAGAGCCGGCGUUGUCCAUAGACAUCUCCAAGGUCAUGUGGCCAGCAUGACUGCACGGAGCACCGUUACCUUCCCACAGAAGCAAUACCUAUUGAUCUACUCACAUUUGCAUGUUUUCGAACUGCUAGAUUGGCAGAAGCUGGGGCUAACAGUGGGAGCUCACGCUGCUAAUACAAUAUAAUAAUACAGUAUAAUAAUUAUAUUUUAUAUAUUGCAUGUAAUAUUAUUAAUAAUAUUGCAGUAUAGUGGUCUAGUACAAUAUAGUACUAUACAAUGCUAAUAUUGUGCUGCUAUGCUAAUAAUAUAAUAUAUUGUAUGUACAUAUAACUUGUACGCCGCUCUGAGUCCCCUUCAGAGUGAGAAGGGUAGGAUAUAAAUGUCAUGUGAUGUUUAGCUGCUGCAGGGCUGAUCCAACUGCACACAGACUCAAGUGAUCAGUAUAGAUGAGCCUUUGCACCAUUAGACUGUCUAUGCUAUGAAAUAAUAAAAACUCAUUUUGAAUUCAUUGGAAAUUCAGUUCUUUUGCAGUCUAAAAUUACAGCAACUUUUGUGCUGCAUUUCAGUUUCAUUGUGCAACUGCUAAUUACCAUUUUGCAAGAGUUAAAAUCACAUUGGAUAAAACUUAGAGGAUAGUAUUUGUAUUAUAUUUGCAUAAAACAUCAAAAUGUGCAAGGGGGAGCAUUUGUAUCUGACUUAGAUGUUACAAGUCUCCUCAAAACAAUGUUCUCUCAUUUCAUUUUUUGCAUGCUUGUGGAUUACUAUUCUCUGAUUUAGAGGCCUAUUUUUGUCUCACCUUUUCUAGAUAUAUCCAUAUGAGCUGCUUCUAGUGACAACAAGGGGGAGGAACCGCUUGCCCAAAGAUGCGGACAGAACUCGGUUAGAGCGCCACCUGUCACCGGAGGAAUUUUACCAGGUGUUUGGCAUGACCAUUGCCGAAUUUGAUCGCCUGGCCUUGUGGAAGAGGAAUGAGCUGAAGAAGCAGGCACGGCUAUUUUAGACACAGUGCUUUAUAAAUAAAGAUAUAUAUAUACAUAUAUAUGUAUACAUACCUAUAAAUAUAUACAUAUAUAUAGUUAUAUGUAAUAUAUAUCUAUAUAUAUAUAGAAAGAUCUCUAUAUUGAAAUGCUGUAUAACUCUUUUUGUUGUACAGUAGAACCCAUGGCUGCUCUCUUCGGAAGCCUGUAGAGCGAACUGAAAUCUCAUGAAUAUUUUUAUGCCCUUUGUUUCUUUUAUUCAUUUUUUAAAAAUGUAACUGUUAUUUAGGGAAGUUUUAAACUCGGGGGAGGAGGCGGGAUCCUGUUUUUAUAUGGAACGGUCAUUUUCUUAUAUGAAUGUCAGGUAAUCUUGGGCAUUAUCGUAUCUCGUCUAUCAGUUUCCUAAAUCCAAGUCCAUCCCAAGGGAGGUAAAAUAGCAGUGUAAUGGGGCACAUUACUUAACAAAGAACUAAUUUGUUUCUGAAGCCCAACUGUAGUGUAAGGCCACCAGAAGUUUUUUGCUGGAUCAAGCUAGGGAGUUAUCUCAUCCAGCCUCUUGUUCCUACAUGUUUUUCCACUGCUUGACUCCCAUUACUCUGCCUUAGCCAUAUCCAGGGUUAUGUACACAUUGUGCUGCUUCAUUCUACACCAAGAAUGCAAUAUAUUCUACACCAAGAAGGAAAAAUAAUUGUAAGAAUUGUAUGUAUUAAACAUGUUUGCAUAUAGGAAUAGAAGAAGAAUCCUCUUGGUUUCCUACUGCAAUCAUCUAGAUGCCUUUGGAAGUUCAUGAAAUACAUUUGGUGGUGUUGAUCACCUCCAUGGUUUGUCUGCAAUACCUAGUAAUCAAACAGGGCUCCCUCUGUGCAUUGAAGCUGAAUUUUGUAAGACUGCUAAGGUCUACUUGAUAGACCAUUCCUCCAUGAACACAGAGUAAAUGAGUUGGCUUGCUUCCUUCUAGUUUCGGAAGUAUGCGGCUUGCCCCUCACUCCAGUUCUCCUUGACACCUACCAGACUGUGUUCUCAUAAGUACCAAAUUCUAUAUAUUUUCUCAACUUGCGCAUGUUCAUGGAAUGUGCACAGCCUGGCUAUUGCCUAGAAAGACCAUCCAGUAUUGCGCCUACUUCAAAAAAAUUGUCUUCUUUUCACUUCUCCAGCUUCACCCUCCCAUUGGCAAAUGAAUGGGAGAAUCAGCCAAUUAAACCAGUAAGCACUGCCAUGGGAGACCUUAAUCUUGCAAACUGAAGGUCAACACUAUUUUUUUUUAUGUUUAGAUGUAGCUAGAAAUAGCCAACAUCCCUGUCGCAUUUCCAAAGGAAACAGACAUAACUCUCUGUCUUUCUCUCUCUUUCUACUGUGUCUUUUAAAUAAACAUUGUCUCUUGUUGUUAAGAAGAGAUUAAACUAUACCAGGCAAAUGUAAUAUUGGAGGCAUUGCAUCUGAGCUAUAAAGGUUUUUGUAGCACCCAUGUCUUUUCUAAAGAAGUGGAUUUAGGUUGAAAAGGAAAAGAGCUUGGACAAAUAUUGUCAUGUGCUGGAACAUCUUACUCAUGUUUACUUAGUAUGGAUUUCAAUGGCCUCAUGGCAAUUAGUGAUGCCCCCAAUAUCAGAUAAAACCAAUAUGAUAGCCUUUUAACUGAAGAAAUGUAUAUGGAAUGUCUUUAUCUCUGUGGGAAAUUGUAGGUUUGUUCUGCUUUCUUAAAAAAGUUUUCUUAUCUAAUACAUUGUUUGAACAAAAAUUGUA